CCCUUAGAUGUUCUGGGCUGCACGCGCGCUACACUGAAGCGUUCAACGAGUAUUUCACCUUGCCCGGGAGGGUUGGGUAAUCUUUUUAAAACGCUUCGUGAUGGGGAUAGAUUAUUGCAAUUAUUAAUCUUCAACGAGGAAUUCCUAGUAAGCGCGAGUCAUCAGCUCGUGCUGAUUACGUCCCUGCCCUUUGUACACACCGCCCGUCGCUCCCACCGAUUGAGUGAUCCGGUGAAUAAUUCGGACUGCAGCAGUGCUUGGUCCUCCGGGCUUUGCAGCGGAAAGUUUAGUGAACCUUAUCACUUAGAGGAAGGAGAANUCGUANCA
rnacentral:rRNA from 1 species